CCACAUUUUGGUGACAGCGGUGGGAUACCUAACUUCAAGACGCAGUGGUGAAACCUGGACGGCGUAGGACCCAGACACACUUUUUGAUCUUGGGACAAGACCGUGGAAAAAAGGCAACAACGCCCGCGGGACCCAUCCUUGCCAGAGGGGAUCAUCCUGUGCCUUGGAUACGGUAUCUACUGUACUGUUCUGUGGUCUCAGGCACCGAGGGUGAUUUUUAUUCAGAAACAAAAUUUGUUCAACAGUGCUUGGUUUGAGGCGGUUUCGUCGGCUGCUGACUACUUCCCCAGCCUUGGAGAAGACCCUCUCACAAGGCACAGAAGAUGCUGGAGUGCACAGAUAACGCAUGGCUAUAUGAAAUACAUUUGGAAAUACGGGGAAAAUAAUCACAACAAUUUACCUCUGGACCUCCGCUAUGGCACCAGCUGUUGCAUUACAGACACGUUGUGUGGCAACGUGGCUGUCGAGCAGGCCCCAGAGAUUGUCCUCCUGCUCUGAAGACCCCCGUGAGGAGGAUGGUUGUGGUGGUGGUGAUUGUGGUGGAAUGAUGU